rnacentral:rRNA from 1 species
AUUGAACGCUGGUGGCAGGCCUAACACAUGCAAGUCGAGCGGAUGACGGGAGCUUGCUCCUUGAUUCAGCGGCGGACGGGUGAGUAAUGCCUAGGAAUCUGCCUGGUAGUGGGGGACAACGUUUCGAAAGGAACGCUAAUACCGCAUACGUCCUACGGGAGAAAGCAGGGGACCUUCGGGCCUUGCGCUAUCAGAUGAGCCUAGGUCGGAUUAGCUAGUAGGUGAGGUAAUGGCUCACCUAGGCGACGAUCCGUAACUGGUCUGAGAGGAUGAUCAGUCACACUGGAACUGAGACACGGUCCAGACUCCUACGGGAGGCAGCAGUGGGGAAUAUUGGACAAUGGGCGAAAGCCUGAUCCAGCCAUGCCGCGUGUGUGAAGAAGGUCUUCGGAAUGUAAAGCACUUUAAGUUGGGAGGAAGGGCAGUAAGCUAAUACCUUGCUGUUUUGACGUUACCGACAGAAUAAGCACCGGCUAACUCUGUGCCAGCCGCCGCCGUAAUAC